GAUGAACGCUGGCGGCGUGCCUAAUACAUGCAAGUCGAGCGAACGGACGAGAAGCUUGCUUCUCUGAUGUUAGCGGCGGACGGGUGAGUAACACGUGGAUAACCUACCUAUAAGACUGGGAUAACUUCGGGAAACCGUAGCUAAUACCGGAUAAUAUUUUGAACCGCAUGGUUCAAUAGUGAAAGACGGUCUUGCUGUCACUUAUAGAUGGAUCCGCGCUGCAUUAGCUAGUUGGUAAGGUAACGGCUUACCAAGGCAACGAUGCAUAGCCGACCUGAGAGGGUGAUCGGCCACACUGGAACUGAGACACGGUCCAGACUCCUACGGGAGGCAGCAGUAGGGAAUCUUCCGCAAUGGGCGAAAGCUUGACGGAGCAACGCCGCGUGAGUGAUGAAGGUCUUCGGAUCGUAAAACUCUGUUAUUAGGGAAGAACAAAUGUGUAAGUAACUGUGCACAUCUUGACGGUACCUAAUCAGAAAGCCACGGCUAACUACGUG
rnacentral:rRNA from 1 species